rnacentral:rRNA from 1 species
UACGUAGGGUGCAAGCGUUGUCCGGAAUUAUUGGGCGUAAAGAGCUCGUAGGCGGUCUGUCGCGUCUGCUGUGAAAACUCGGGGCUUAACCCCGGGCCUGCAGUGGGUACGGGCAGACUAGAGUGCGGUAGGGGAGACUGGAAUUCCCGGUGUAGCGGUGAAAUGCGCAGAUAUCUGGAGGAACACCGGUGGCGAAGGCGGCAUCCUGGACCGACACUGACGCUGAGGAGCGAAAGCCAGGGGAGCAAACGGG